rnacentral:lncRNA from 1 species
AAAAAUAAUUUUAAUUCAGAAAAUGAAAGAGGAAAAAACUUAAAUAUUUUUGGUGAAAGUCCCAUAUUUUUUAGAUUAGAAAUGAAAUUAUUAUGAAUUAAACAAAAGAAAGCAAUUAAAAGAAAAAUCAUAAAAUAUAAAAAAACAAGGGUCACCAGAUCUCCCUUAUUAAUUGAGAUGGCGGAUCUGAUGGCCAAGCG